CCUACGGGAGGCAGCAGUGGGGGAUAUUGGGCAAUGGAGGAAACUCUGACCCAGCGACGCCGCGUGGAUGAUGGAGGUCUUCGGAUUGUAAAGUUCUUUUCUAAGGGAAGAAGAAAGUGACGGUACCUUAUGAAUACGCCUCGGCUAACUACGUGCCAGCAGCCGCGGUAAUACGUGGGAGGCGAGCGUUAUCCGGAAUGACUGGGCGUAAGGGGUGCGUAGGUGGUUUGGCAAGUUAGUAGCGUAACUCCAAGGCUCAACCUUGGAACUACUACUAAAACUGCUGGACUGGAGUGCAGGAGGGGCAAGCGGAAUUCCUAGUGUAGCGGUGGAAUGCGUAGAUAUUAGGAGGAACACCAGUGGCGAAGGCGGGUUGCUAGACUGUAACUGACACUGAGGCACGAAAGCGUGGGGAGCAAACAGGAUUAGAUACCCGGGUAGUC
rnacentral:rRNA from 1 species